rnacentral:rRNA from 1 species
GAUGAACGCUGGCGGCGUGCCUAACACAUGCAAGUCGAGCGAUUCUCUUCGGAGAAGAGCGGCGGACGGGUGAGUAACGCGUGGGUAACCUGCCCUGUACGCACGGAUAACAUACCGAAAGGUAUGCUAAUACGAGAUGAUAUAUAAAAGUUGCAUGACUUUCAUAUCAAAGCUUUUGCGGUACAGGAUGGACCCGCGUCUGAUUAGCUAGUUGGUAAGGUAACGGCUUACCAAGGCGACGAUCAGUAGCCGACCUGAGAGGGUGAUCGGCCACACUGGAACUGAGACACGGUCCAGACUCCUACGGGAGGCAGCAGUGGGGAAUAUUGCACAAUGGGCGAAAGCCUGAUGCAGCAACGCCGCGUGAGCGGUGAAGGCCUUCGGGUCGUAAAGCUCUGUCCUCAAGGAAGAUAAUGACGGUACUUGAGGAGGAAGCCCCGGCUAACUACGUGCCAGCAGCCGCGGUAAGAC